CAAGUGGAAUUUUUUGCCUCUAUAUAUCUCACUGCCAGUGGAAGUGGAAUUGGAAUUGCGGUCAGCUUCUUCAUUCAAACCUGGUGCAUCACAGAAAUAGGUCCUCUAUACUGCGCAAUGUUCAAACCUCUAAGCAACAGUCAUCAAGGCUUUGAUAAGUGUUACAAGAAGAGCUAUAUUUUGGAAGAAAGCAUAAGGCUGCUAGAUUAGAUGUUCGCACCAAUGUCACAUCCUCUAGGCUUGAUGUUAUCAUAUCUAUUUACAGGAUUGCAGUUGUUGGCAUUCUGAUGGAAACUGAAGUUGCAGACAAUUGGUUGAGUGGUCUGCAUUGAAGAGAACUAACUGUUAAAGUAUGGUUGUUAUAUUUUUUUGGAGUAAUAAUAGAGCAUUCUAAACAAUCAGAGGACACAUUCUCGUACACAUUUUAAACGAAAAUCAAGUAUGAUUCAGCAUAAUUCCAAGUAAAUGGCACUCAAUGGGUAGAAUGUAACAUUAUGGGCAUUUCAGUUACAAUAAGCUAAAGGGCAGCAAUCAUGAGGUAAUCAAAAUAAAGUCAGAAAGGUGAUUCAGCCAUGGGUUAUCAACAGACAGAAUUCCAAAAGUAGCAAUAAAAGAGAUAUAUAUAUAUCAGAAACUCCUACCUGUUAAGCUCUCCCAAUUUUCAGUUAAACAUCAUCAUUAUCAACAUAAAGGAGAGUAUUCAUGGGCAGCCUUAAAGGAGAAUAAAAAACUGAAGCAAUCGAGAAAGUCUUUCAGUUACAUCAAUAAUCAGCAUAAAAGAAUAACCAGGAGAGUAGAGAGGGUCUAUCAUACACGGUUAUCAAAAAAAGGGAACUCACAACCAGAGAGAGCAGAUCACACAGUGAUAAAAACAGCAAGCCGAAAGUAACACAGAAAAGGGAGAGAGAUAAGAUUUAUGAGAUAGAGAAAUUAUUAUAAAAAGCAAAGCAUAAGUGUAGGCAUAGUUCUGUCAGAUUACACAAAAGCAAGAAGGGACAUAAAAAGCAAACAGCUAGAGGAAAGAGAUUGACACCUAUUUGAGGCAGGGACAACAAAGUUACAUAUAGAGUUCGCAUCAGGUAAUAAUUUGUCCGGCUUUAUUCAGGUAUUAAUCCUAAGUUAUAAGUCCAUAUAGUUAUUUUAUAUGAAUCAUGCUCAUUUAGUCAUACAGAAAAAUAUAUAUUCAAGUUUGAGUAAGAACGAAAACAAAAGUAUAUUGCGAAAACCUGAAAAUAGUUUGAGAGUAUGAUUGAAUAUUCACUGGGUUGUUAUCUUUAAGCAUCCACAUUACCAAACAAGCUAGACAUUUAAAAGAAGUAAGUGAAGAUAGUCACCAUUCCUUAAUAAGCUUCCUUACCCGCAUGGAUUCCGAACCUCAACCACUGAGAUCCCUAAUGUAACCUUCAUUGGCCGUAUGUACCCUUCUCCCAUGUCUUAACAAGUUGCUGUAAAAAUUCUAAAAAACACAUACCCACAUUCAGAACAGUAACCACCUUAAGCCACCCGAAGUGAGAACUGAACCACCGUAAACCAUUAUCUCAGGAGAUACCGUCCUUUCAUCGCGAGUCCAUUAAGCCACCUCGAUUCGAACCUCAAACCACCGCACCUCACCAUAACCCUCGCAUCAUCGCCAUUAAACGAAGAAGAAAGAAGAGUGGAGGUUGCAGAAAGGAGACAUGGAGAAUUAGGGGUUUACCCCUGACCGUGAGUCCUACGAUGAUUGGGCUCGGUCCUUGGCCACCACCGGUGCUCUAUAGCCGGAGUCAUGUUGUAGAAUAAAUAAGGAUGAAGACCACAACCUUCUCUCUACGGUGCUCGGUACUCACCGGAAUUGAAGGUCUGCAACCUCCGUCCUUUAUUGCGCCACCUCCUUGGCUACUGCUUUGAAAGAGAAGAGAGGGUUGAGGGAUUAGGGAUUUCAAUCCCCUUUUUCCCUUCCAACUUAUGUUUCACGUGAAACAGUAGGGAGACCCCUUUCUUUGUUAAUACCUUUUAUUAUUACUUUUUAUUAUUU
rnacentral:lncRNA from 1 species